AGUUUUAAUUUUGGUUGCUGUUACUACUGAUAUCUCAGCCAAAGUGAUGCUGCUAACUGAGGGAAUCUCUGCAACUUGUAAGUCAACAAUUACAUGACUCAGAUGGACGAUAAAAAGCCAAGGAAACCGAGUUUGACUUCCUUCCCAAUUUUGAAAGCAAAAAAGAAGCAAAAUUUCACCUCUGUGAAGCAAUGUCCUGCAAUAAUUCUGAACAAGUAUUCAAGAACAUUUCCAGAAAAUGUGUUUCCCCUAACACAGAGACCAUCUCUUUUUACUCUGCCUCAACUAACUGAAGGCAGAGCACUGAAGGUAAGACCCUAUGAUGUAAUGAGUGUGAUUACGGUCUAUGAGAUCAACGUCUAUAUUAUAUGUAUUUUUUAAUCUCACUCAGUCUGAAUUCCUCAGGGUAUUAAAAAGCUCCUUUUGACUAGGAUCUUUGUUCAGAAUGUUUUGCAGCAAACUUUAGCCCAAAGCAUCCAGCCUGCAUUACUAACUGGGACAGUCAGCCUUCAGCUGCCUACUGGGGCCUUCCCUAGAUCCUCUCACAGAUCACAGACCAUCUCCUUGAAAUUAUAACCCCAGGUCACUUUCUCCAGGUAGUGUUCCUGAUUUAGUCAUAGCUUUCUGUGCCUCAGAAUUACAACUCCCAAGAAUGGACCACCAAGCCCAUCCAUCAUUCUACACCCCGCCUCUGCCUUUACCACAUGCAAUAGCAAGAGUUUAUUUUGCAAUUUGUAGGUACAAAUAUUAUUAGUAUCUAAAACAUAUUUCUUUUGAUGAAAAUUACCUUAAAAUAUUUGACACAGUAAAUCUAAAGCAAAACAUGAUAAUAUAAUAAAUACAACAUUCUAUUAAAUUUUAGAGUUUUACAACCUCAGAAUGAAUAAGUCAUAAUUUUAGUUUAGCAAAAUCUUCAUGAGUUUUGCAACUUGCAGUUUUUCUGUUUUUCAUUUUCUUCUUCUUUUGUCUUAAAAUCUGCUUGAACUCAUUUAUUGAGUGGUCAAAUGACUCUUGCAUGAACCCUUAGAGACAGGUGCUUUUAUUCUAAUUUUCCAGGUGGGGAAACUGAGCAAGGUUAACUAGAUCACUAAGUCUGGAGGACAGAAUUCAAAUCCAUAUAUGUACCCACUCUAUUCUGUGCCUCUGAUUAGUAGUACCAACUCUGCUAAAUGUUGUUCUAAAAAGUUCUUUAUGCAUUUAAGUUAAUUUUAAGGAAAGCAAAUUUUCUGUAGCUAUAAUGACAGGAAUAAAAAAUAAAAAUACCACAUGCACAUCAACUCAUUUAUGUUGUAUUUUACAAUAACUAUCAGCAAGUUCAUAGUAUCUUUUUUUUUUUUUUUUCCUUUUUGGUACUAAGGAUUGAACCCAGGAGGGCUCAACCACUGAACCACACCCCCAGCCCUUUAUUUGUUUAUGAGACAAGUUCUCACUAAAUUGCUUAGGGCCUCACUAAAUAAAUUGCUGAGGCUGGCUUUUAACUUGUGAUCCUCCUGCCCCAGCCUCCUAAACCACUGGGAUUACAGGCAUAUGCCACCAUGCCCAGCUCCCAGUAUCAUUUUUAACUAGUAUUUAAACUUGUAACUAUGGUCUUUACAUUGCUAAAUAUUCUGGUGGGAUUUAAAUAAUCAUCGUUUCACCAUCAAUUGGCAUUCCCCAACGGAUUUGUUAUCCCUUUGAAUUUAAUAGGAUUGAGUAAGGAAGUACAAACACAUCAAUAACUGUCCUCUGCAUGUGAAAUUCUAAGUUUCAGUGGACACAUAUGACAUUAAUUGGUGGAUAAAAGUGAAUCAUAUGAAUUAUAAUCCCUUCACUUAUGAUAACACUGGAAAUGAAGGGCUGUGAAUCUUAGCAUAUCAGUUGCCUCAACCACGUGUUAAAAAAGCAUUUUGAAUAUUUAAGCACAUUAACCAUAAUUUCCAUUUUCAGUACUUAAUAGUAUAUAUUAUAAACAAAAAUCAUAUUAUUAAUCAAAUAUUUAAUUAUUAUUAUUUUUUGCUAUGCUAGGGGUUGAACCCAGGACCUUGUUCUGGGUGAGUAUUGUACACUGAGCUACAUCCCAGAUUAAAAUAUUUUAAAUAUGUAACUUGGUAAUAAUUUAGCCAAGGGAUUUUAAAAAAAUUGAUUUCAUUUGUCCUGAAGACAAUGGUGCAGUCCUCCAUCCUAGUUAUAAGGGAUUCGUUUCACAGUGCCCCCAUUCGUUUGACUGAAAUGUGUAACAUGACCACUAGAGAGCCGUCUUCCCUUUGGCUUCAACGCUGGUAGAGAUUCUCCAUCUUUUCUGCUUAGCUGAUAAGGAUCAAAGAACUCUCACAGUGGUCCUCAAUGCACUUUAGGAUAUGCUCUGUGUUAUAGUUUAUCCUAACUUCUGGGAGAAGCAGCAGAUACUCCCUCUGGACCUCGGGCCUCUCAGCUAGUAAGCUGGAGGACACUGAUUUUCCUGCUUCUCUCUUCAAAGAAAACAACAUUGGCUUGCAGCUGAUUUCUGGGAUUUGAGGAGCUGUCAGGACUCCAAAUAUCAGGUUGGGUCAUGCCAGGAGGAGAACCUGGGAGAAGGCCAUGGGGAAGAGAGUGCUGUUAAUUUAGGAUAUGACUCUUCAGCAUCCCUGACAAUUAAAUAGGUGUGACAAAGUACAUCCAGAAAUGUGCUAAAGACACAAUUUCUCUUUUCUGCAUUGUGAGUGCAGGUACCUACUAAAGUACCUACUUUAUUUCUUAUUUUUCUUAAAUCCUUUAAAUCAUUCAAUUGCUGUCUUCACUUCUUUACACAGGCUUUCCUUUCCUACCCUUUUCAGUUACAUGUUUAUUGCUUGUCUCACCCUCCACAAUAGGACUGCCCAACAUGGUAGCCACUGGCCAUAUGAGGCUAUGGAGCCCUUGGUGUGUGGCGGGUCCAGAUGGAGAUGUUCUGUGAAUGUGAAAUAUACAGCAGAUCUUGAAGACUUGGAUGAGUGUAAAAUAACUUAUUAAAUGUUAUUUAAGAAUUGGGUGAAUUUUAUAACAUAUCAAUUAAUACCUUAAGGAAUUUGUAAAAAUAAUUUUGGAUCAAUUCAUAUUAAACUAGUAUCCUGAAUAUGUUAAGUAAAAUAUAUUGUUAAUUGCACCUGUCUCUUUUUACUUUUUAACGUGGCUAUUAGAAAAGUUGUGUUAGGUAGCCUGCAUUAUAUUUAUGGUGGAACACAUGCUGUAAAAGGGACAUUCCGUAUCCUUAGACUGGAUCAGUACUGAAUCCCCAUAACUAGGAUAGUACUGGCACAGACUAGCACUUGAAGUGUCCUUGUGGAAUAAAACCCAGGAGUGUUUAUUUAUUUGCCCCUUUAAAUACUUAGUGUCAACUUGUUUCAGACACUGUUUUAGGUGUUGGAGAUACAGUCAAAAAGAAAACAGGUUAACAAAUUAUUAUGGGGCUUAAAAUUGAGAUUCUUCGUAGGAAGGCCAGAUAUUUUGGUGAAAAUGUUGAGAAUGGUAAUGACUAGCUCUCAUUUUCCUUUGUGGUUAGGGUUGCAAUUGACAGUGUUUUUUUUCCACCUUGGUUAUAUAUUUAGAAUCUCCCAAUCAAGUUUUAAAGACUACUGAAAUCAGAAUUUCUAGGGAUUAUAGACAUUUGUUAGUUAUUUUCUAUCAUGUGUGGACAGAUGUUCAUUUUAAUUCUAGCUGUGAGAUCUCGAUUAGGUCAUUAAGUCCCUGAUCAUUUGUGAAACUGGAAUAAUUAGUCUUAUAUUCCCCGACUGCAGUGGUAUUAAUGAGGUAAGAGAACAUGAACUCUCUGGCUGGCAGAUUUUAGAAUAUGCUUUCACUUUUCCUUCUCUCUCCAUUUAACAGAACGGGGUUUUUUUAUGAGACAGGCUCCUAACUGAGUCUCACACAGUAGAAGAAGGUAUCUGAGGGUCCUUCCCUCUGUCUCAUUUCUGUCUCUUAUCAGCAGUCCUUUUAUAAAAAGCAGAACCAAAAUGAAACAAAGAAACCCAGUCCAACCAUUUGGCAUUACUAAGGAAAGAAUGGAAAUUACACUCAAAACUGAAGAACACAUUCCAGUUGCCAGAC